rnacentral:rRNA from 1 species
CAGUCGCCACGGGAAUACAGAGGGUGCGAGCGUUAAUCGGAUUUACUGGGCGUAAAGCGUGCGUAGGCGGCUUUUUAAGUCGGAUGUGAAAUCCCUGAGCUUAACUUAGGAAUUGCAUUCGAUACUGGGAAGCUAGAGUAUGGGAGAGGAUGGUAGAAUUCCAGGUGUAGCGGUGAAAUGCGUAGAGAUCUGGAGGAAUACCGAUGGCGAAGGCAGCCAUCUGGCCUAAUACUGACGCUGAGGUACAAAAGCAUGGGGAGCAAACAGGAUUAGAUACCCCGGUAGUCCCUGUCUCUUAUAC